AUUGAACGCUGGCGGCAGGCCUAACACAUGCAAGUCGAGCGGAGCGGCGGACGGGUGAGUAAUGCCUAGGAAUCUGCCUGGUCGUGGGGGAUAACGUCCGGAAACGGGCGCUAAUACCGCAUCCUAUCAGAUGAGCCUAGGUCGGAUUAGCUAGUUGGUGGGGGAAAGGCCUACCAAGGCGACGAUCCGUAACUGGUCUGAGUGGCUGAUCAGUCAAACUGGAACUGAGACACGGUCCAGCCUCCUACGGUAGGCAGCAGUGGGUAAUAUUGGACAAUGGGCGAAAGCCUGAUCCAGCCAUGCCGCGUGUGUGAAGAAGGUCUUAGGAUUGUAAAGCACUUUAAGUUGGGAGGCGUUACCAACAGAAUAAGCACCGGCUAACUUCGUGCCAGCAGCCGCGGUAAUUC
rnacentral:rRNA from 1 species